GAUGAACGCUAGCGGCAGGCUUAAUACAUGCAAGUCGAGGGGCAGCAGGGAUGUAGCAAUACAUUCGCUGGCGACCGGCAAACGGGUGCGGAACACGUACGCAAUCUACCCAAAACUGAUGAAUAGCCAUCCGAAAGGAGGAUUAAUGCAUCGUAACUUAAUGAAGUGGCAUCGCUUUAUUAAUAUAGCUCCGGCGGUUUUGGAUGAGCGUGCGCCUGAUUAGGUAGUUGGUUGAGGUAACGGCUCACCAAGCCUUCGAUCAGUAACUGGUGUGAGAGCACGACCAGUCACACGGGCACUGAGACACGGGCCCGACUCCUACGGGAGGCAGCAGUAAGGAAUAUUGGUCAAUGGACGCAAGUCUGAACCAGCCAUGCCGCGUGAAGGAUGAAGGUCCUCUGGAUUGUAAACUUCUUUUAUAGGGGAAGAAAUCUCUUGAUUCUUCGAGAGUUGACGGUACCCUAGGAAUAAGCACCGGCUAACUCCGUGCCAGCCGCCGCGGUAAAAC
rnacentral:rRNA from 1 species